rnacentral:rRNA from 1 species
GUGAUCCCAGGUAACACGGGAUUAUCCACUGAGUUUAACCAUAUCAAUAAGAGGAGGGAAAGAAACUUACAAGGAUUCCCUUAGUAACGGUGAGCGAACCAGGAAUAGCCCAGCCUUAGAAUCGGGGGGCUCCGUCGUUUGAAUUGUAGUUUGGAGAAGCAAUCUCAGCGGCGGACCAGGCCCAAGUCCCCUGGAAGGGGGCGCCAGAGAGGGUGUGAGGCCCAUUGUUCCCGGAUCCUGUCGCACCAUGAGGCACUAUCUAUGAGUCGGGUUGUUUGGGAAUGCAGCCUAAAUCGGGUGGUGAAUUCCAUCCAAGGCUAAAUAUGAGCGACAGACCUAUAGCGAACAAGUACCGCGAGGGAAAGAUAAAAAGGACUUUGAAAAGAGAGUCAAAGUAUGCUUGAAAUUAUUGGGAGGGAAGUGGUUGUGGGCCGGCGAUGUGCCCCAGUCAAAUGUGGAAUGGCGACGAGCUAGUCCGCCGAUUGACUCGGGGUGUGGACAAACGUGGAUUGGGUGACGGCUAAAGCCCGGGCUCUCAAUACACUCAUGGAAUGCUGUCUUCUCAAUUUUCGUAGGCAACGCGCAUCUCCAGCAUGCUUCGGCAUCUGUGCGCUAUGGACGCUGGCCUAUGGGCUCCCCAUUCGACCCGUCUUGAAAAAUAGAUCAAGUAGUCUGACAUGUCUAUGAGUCAACGGGCGAGUAAACUCGUGAGAUGUAAGGAAGUUGAUUGGUGGUAUCCCCCCGAGGGGUGCACCACUGACCGACCUUGAUAUUUUGAGAAGGGUUUGAGUGUAAGCAUACUUGUCGGGACCCGAAAGAUGGUGAACUAUGCCUGAGUGGGGCAAAGCGAGAGCAAACUAUCGUGUAGGCCCGCAGCGAUACUGAUGUUGAAAUCUUUCAUCUGACUUGGGUGUAGGGCCAGCGGCUGCUUUGUCAAGCCAUGCCACGGAAUCAAGUGCUCUAAGUGGGCCAUUUUUGGUAAGCAGAACUAGCAAUGCAGGAUGAACCAGAAGUCGGGUUACGGUGCCAAACUGUUCGCUAACCUAGAUCCCAUAAAGGGUGUUGGUUGAUUAAGACGGCAAGACGGUGGUCAUAGAAGUCAAAAUCCGCUAAGGAGUGUUUAAAAACUCACCUUCCAAAUAAACUAGCCCCCCAAAAAAUAGAGCUUAAGCACGCGACUUACACCCGGCCGUCAGGGAAAGUUCCAGGCCCCGAUGAGUAGGAGGGCACGACGGUCGCUGUAAAGCCUUGGGCGCGAGCCCAGGCAGAGCGGCCGUCAGUGCAGAUAUUGGUGGUAGUAGUAAAUAUUCAAAUGAUAACUUUGAAGGACAAAGAGGGGAAGAGUUCCAUGUGAACGACACUUGCACAUGGAUUAGUCAAUUCUAAAGGUCGGGGGAACCUCGACAGAUAGUGCAUUUUGCGCGUACUCCGUAAGGGAAUUAGGUUAAAAUUCCUAAACCGGGAUGUGGCGGUUGACGGCAAUGUUAGAAAGUCCAGAGACUUUGGUGGGAGCCUCGAGAAGAGUUAUCUUUCCUGUUUAACAACUUGCCUACCCUGGAAUUGGCUCUGUCGGAGGUAGGGUCCAGCGGCUGGAAGAGCACCGUACGUAGUGUGGUGUAUGGUGCACUACCGGCGGCCCUUGAAAAUCUAGAGGACCGAAUGUCGUCCACCCUUGGUCAUACUCAUAACCACAUCAGGUCUCCAAGGGUAACAACCUCUGGUCGAUGGAACAAUGUAGGCAAGAGAAGUCGGUAAAAUGGAUCCGUAAUUUCUAGAAAAGGAUUGGCAUUGAGGGCUGGGCACGGGGGUCCCAGUCCCGAACCCGUCGGCUUUCAGUGGACUACUCAAGCUGCUUUCGCAGCGAGAGCAGGUCUUCGCAUGCCGGACGGGAGACAGACUAGGAAUGGUUCCUUCGGGGGCCUUCCCCGUGCGUCGAAUAUCCAACUCAGAACUGGUACGGACAAGGGGAAUCCUACUGUUUAAUUAAAACAAAGCAUUGCGAUGGUCCCAACAGAUGUUCACGCAUUGUGAUAUCUGUCCAGUGCUCUGAAUGUCAAAGUGAAGAAAUUCAACCAAGCGCGGGUAAAUGACAGGAGUAACUAUGAAUCUCUUAGGGUAGCCAAAUGCCUCAUCAUCUAAUUAGUGACGUGCAUGAAUGGAUUAACAAGAUUCUCACUAUCCUUGUCUACUAUCCAGCGAAACCACAGCCAAAGGAAUGGGCUUGGAAGAAUCAGCGGGGAAAGAAGACCCUCUUGAGCUUGACUCUACUCCGAAUUUGUGAAAUGACUUGAGAGGUGUAGUAUAAGUGGGAGCCAAAAGUGAAAACUAACUACUUUUAACAUUAUUUUACUUAUUUCGUGAAUUGGAGCGGGGCACUGCCCCUCGAUUUGGACCCAAGGCUCGCUCUGCGGGCCGAUCCGGGCAGAAGACAUUGUCAGGUGGGGAGUUUGGCUGGGGCGGCACAUCUAUUAAAAGAGAAUAUAGGUGUCCUAAGAUGAGCUCAACGAGAAUAGAACUAUCAUGUGGAACAGAAGGGUAAAUGAUCGUUUGAUUCUUAUUCCAGUACAAAUAUGAACCAUGAAAGCAUGGCCUAACAAUCCUUUAGACCUUCAUAAUUCGAAGCUAGAGGUGUCAGAAAAGUGUUACUACAGGGAUAACUGGCCUAUUGCAGCCAAGUGUUCAUAGCGACAUUGCUAUUUCAUCCUUCGAUGUUGGCUCGUCCUAUCAUUGCAAAGCAGAAUUCACCAAGUGUUGGACUGUUCACCCACUAAUAGGAAACGUGAGCUGGGUUUAGACCGUCAUGAGAUAGGUUAGUUUAACCCUACUUAUGAUAGUGUCACAGUAGUAAUUCAACCUACUACGAGAGAUAACGUUGAUUCACACAAUUUGUCAUCGAGCUUGGUUGAAAAGCCAGUGUGCUGGAUAAUAACUGAAUGCCUCUAAGUUAGAAUCUAGACUAGAAGCGAUGCAUGCACCCGUUGUCCGCUUGCCGACUCGCACUAGGGGUCUCGGCCCCCAAGGGCAGGUAUCAUUUGCUAAGCCACCGCAGCGGAAGAGUCGCGGUGGCCGCCUUGAAGUAUAAUUUCCAAUGAGCGGUGGGUAGAAUCCUUUGUAGAUGACUUAAAUAUGCGAUGGGGUAUUGUAAGUGGAAGAGUGUCCUUGCUGCCACGAUCCACUAAGAUUCAUCCCUUUGUCGCUCUGGUUCGC